AAGAAAAAUUAUGAAUUUUCAAGGAAAUUAAGUGAAAAAGGCCAGGUUAGCUUGUAGAUAGCAGACAUCGUCGAGAACUAUAGUUGGUCAUACUACUUCAAAAACUGGGAGAUAAGAAACUGAUACGAAAGCCUUACGAGGUCUCGAUAUGGUAUUCGGGGGAUGAGUGCCUAUUGGGACAUUGCGACGGUUGUCACGGACUCAAGGAUGGUUCCGGGUCGUGACACUUAAAGGAAGGAAUGUCCCCAUUUCAUGCAUUGUAACGGUUUUUGAUGGCAUAAAUGUAAAAGCUCGUUAGCUCUUUAUAGGGGUUGAGCAUUUGACGGAUUGUUAGGGUGUCUCACUAGUCAAGGUAUGUUUGUAGCUAACCAUCUAAGGCUGCCCUAAUGGCCUGACAAUUGCGCAUUGGUACUCUCAAUCCCUUUGUACUUACUUUCAAUAUUAAUAAAACAUUUUUCUUUUAUGUGAA